CCUACGGGCGGCACCAGUGGGGAAUAUUGCACAAUGGGCGCAAGCCUGAUGCAGCCAUGCCGCCUGUAUGAAGAAGGCCUCCGGGUUGUAAAGUACUUUCAGCGGGGAGGAAGGCGAUAAGGUUGAUAACCUUGUCGAUUGACGUUACCCGCAGAAGAAGCACCGGCUAACUCCGUGCCAGCAGCCGCGGUAAUACGGAGGGUGCAAGCGUUAAUCGGAAUUACUGGGCGUAAAGCGCACGCAGGCGGUCUGUCAAGUCGGAUGUGAAAUCCCCGGGCUCAACCUGGGAACUGCAUUCGAAUCUGGCAGGCUAGAGUCUUGUAGAGGGGGGUAGAAUUCCAGGUGUAGCGGUGAAAUGCGUAGAGAUCUGGAGGAAUACCGGUGGCGAAGGCGGCCCCCUGGACAAAGACUGACGCGCAGGUGCGAAAGCGUGGGGAGCAAACAGGAUUAGAUACCCGGGUAGUC
rnacentral:rRNA from 1 species